rnacentral:rRNA from 1 species
AGUGAACGCUGGCGGUAGGCCUAACACAUGCAAGUCGAACGGCAGCACAGUAAGAGCUUGCUCUUACGGGUGGCGAGUGGCGGACGGGUGAGGAAUACAUCGGAAUCUACUUUUUCGUGGGGGAUAACGUAGGGAAACCUACGCUAAUACCGCAUACGACCUACGGGUGAAAGCAGGGGAUCUUCGGACCUUGCGCGAUUGAAUGAGCCGAUGUCGGAUUAGCUAGUUGGCGGGGUAAAGGCCCACCAAGGCGACGAUCCGUAGCUGGUCUGAGAGGAUGAGCAGCCACACUGGAACUGAGACACGGUCCAGACUCCUACGGUAGGCAGCAGUGGGGAAUAUUGGACAAUGGGCGCAAGCCUGAUCCAACCACACCGGGUGGGUGAAGAGGGGAUUAGGGUUGGAAAGAACUUUUGUUGGGAAAGAAAAGCAGCAGGUGAAUACCCCGCUGUUCUGACGGUACCCAAAGAAUAAGCACCGGCUAACUUCGUG